AGAGUUUGAUCAUGGCUCAGAACGAACGCUGGCGGCAGGCUUAACACAUGCAAGUCGAGCGCCCCGCAAGGGGAGCGGCAGACGGGUGAGUAACGCGUGGGAAUCUACCCAGCUCUACGGAAUAACUCAGGGAAACUUGUGCUAAUACCGUAUACGUCCGAUAGGAGAAAGAUUUAUCGGAGUUGGAUGAGCCCGCGUUGGAUUAGCUAGUUGGUGGGGUAAUGGCCUACCAAGGCGACGAUCCAUAGCUGGUCUGAGAGGAUGAUCAGCCACACUGGGACUGAGACACGGCCCAGACUCCUACGGGAGGCAGCAGUGGGGAAUAUUGGACAAUGGGCGAAAGCCUGAUCCAGCAAUGCCGCGUGAGUGAUGAAGGCCCUAGGGUUGUAAAGCUCUUUUACCAGGGAUGAUAAUGACAGUACCUGGAGAAUAAGCUCCGGCUAACUCCGUG
rnacentral:rRNA from 1 species